rnacentral:rRNA from 1 species
UACAUAAGGAGCAAGCGUUGUCCGGAUUUAUUGGGCGUAAAGAGCACGUAGGCGGUAAUUUAAGUCAGAUGUUAAAAGCUUCGACUCAAUCGGAGUCCGCAUUUGAAACUGAAUUGCUAGAGAAUAAGAAAGGGAAGCGGAACUCACAGUGUAGCGGUGAAAUGCGUAGAUAUUGUGAGGAACACCAGUUGCGAAGGCGACUUCCUAGCUUAUUUCUGACGCUGAGGUGCGAAAGCGUAGGGAGCGAACAGGAUUAGAUACCCCGGUA